UACGUAGGGGGCUAGCGUUGUCCGGAAUCAUUAGGCGUAAAGAGCGUGUAGGCGGCCCGGUAAGUCCGCUGUGAAAGUCGGGGGCUCAACCCUCGAAUGCCGGUGGAUACUGUCGGGCUAGAGUCCGGAAGAGGCGAGUGGAAUUCCUGGUGUAGCGGUGAAAUGCGCAGAUAUCAGGAGGAACACCAGUGGCGAAGGCGCCGCUCUGGGCCGUGACUGACGCUGAGGAGCGAAAGCGUGGGUAGCAAACAGG
rnacentral:rRNA from 1 species